AGUGAACGCUGGCGGUAGGCCUAACACAUGCAAGUCGAACGGCAGCACAGUAAGAGCUUGCUCUUACGGGUGGCGAGUGGCGGACGGGUGAGGAAUACAUCGGAAUCUACUUUUUCGUGGGGGAUUACGUAGGGAAACUUACGCUAAUACCGCAUACGACCUACGGGUGAAAGCAGGGGAUAUUCGGACCUUGCGCGAUUGAAUGAGCCGAUGUCGGAUUAGCUAGUUGGCGAGGUAAAGGCCCACCAAGGCGACGAUCCGUAGCUGGUCUGAGAGGAUGAUCGGCCACACUGGAACUGAGACACGGUCCAGACUCCUACGGGAGGCAGCAGUGGGGAAUAUUGGACAAUGGGCGCAAGCCUGAUCCAGCCAUACCGCGUGGGUGAAGAAGGCCUUCGGGUUGUAAAGCCCUUUUAUUAGGAAAGAAAAGCAGCAGGUUAAUACCCCGCUGUUCUGACGGUACCCAAAGAGUAAGCACCGGCUAACUUCGUG
rnacentral:rRNA from 1 species